rnacentral:rRNA from 2 species
UGGMGGCACGCCUAACWCAURCAAGUCGRACGGAGGUAUUUUGGUUUAUGAGAUAUUUUAGUGGCGGACGGGUGAGUAACACKUGAGCAACCUGCCUMGAGAGAGGGAUAGMUUCUGGAAACGGAUGGUAAUACCUCAUAACAUAACGAAGCCGCAUGACUUUGUUAUCAAAGAUUUAUCACUCAGAGAUGGGCUCGCGUYUGAUUAGRUAGUUGGUGAGGUAACGGCCCACCAAGUYGACGAUCAGUAGCCGGACUGAGAGGUUGAACGGCCACAUUGGGACUGAGACACGGCCCAGACUCCUACGGGAGGCAGCAGUGGGGAAUAUUGCACAGUGGGGGAAACCCUGAUGCAGMGAWARMSGCGUGGAGGAAGAAGGUUUUCGGAUUGUUAAACUCCUGUCUAAAGGACGAUAAUGACGGUACUU